UACGAAGGGGGCUAGCGUUGCUCGGAAUGACUGGGCGUAAAGGGCGCGUAGGCGGCUUGCACCGUCAGAUGUGAAAUUCCUGGGCUUAACCUGGGGGCUGCAUUUGAUACGUGUGGGCUUGAGUGCGGAAGAGGGUCGUGGAAUUCCCAGUGUAGAGGUGAAAUUCGUAGAUAUUGGGAAGAACACCGGUGGCGAAGGCGGCGCUCUGGACCGAGACUGACGCUGAGGCGCGAAGGCCAGGGGAGCAAACGGG
rnacentral:rRNA from 1 species